CAAUGCAGCGCGGGAGAGAUCGUCAGACGUUCGUGACGACGCCGACGGAGCAACCGCCCCGGAAACUCUCAGGCAAAAGGACCGCGCAGCAGGA
rfam:Burkholderia ginsengiterrae strain DCY85 NODE_14, whole genome shotgun sequence.